CCUACGGGAGGCAGCAGUAGGGAAUAUUGCUCAAUGGGGGAAACCCUGAAGCAGCAACGCCGCGUGGAGGAUGAAGGUUUUCGGAUUGUAAACUCCUUUUGUUAGAGAAGAUAAUGACGGUAUCUAACGAAUAAGCACCGGCUAACUCCGUGCCAGCAGCCGCGGUAAUACGGAGGGUGCAAGCGUUACUCGGAAUCACUGGGCGUAAAGAGCGCGUAGGUGGGAUAGCAAGUCAGAUGUGAAAUACUAGGGCUUAACCAUAGAACUGCAUUUGAAACUGUUGUUCUAGAGUUGGGGAGAGGUAGGUGGAAUUCGUGGUGUAGCGGUAAAAUCCGUAGAGAUCAAGAGGAAUACUGAUUGCGAAGGCGACCUGCUAGAACAUAACUGACGCUGAUGCGCGAAAGCGUGGGGAGCAAACAGGAUUAGAUACCCGAGUAGUC
rnacentral:rRNA from 1 species